rnacentral:rRNA from 1 species
AGAGUUCGAUCAUGGGUCAUGAUUGACCGCUGGUCGGCUUGGCCUUACGCAUGCUAGUCGUAUCGGAAGCCGGAAGCUUGCUUCUCGAUUGAGCGGCGGACGGGCUGAGUAAUGCCUAGGAAUCUGCCUGUUAUUGGGGGACACAGUUUCGAAAGGUACGCUAAUUUCUCAUACGUCCUACGGGAGAAAGCAGGGGACCUUUGGGCCCUGCGCCAUCCGAUGACCGUAGGUCUGGAUUAGCUUGUUGGUGAGGUAAUGGCUCACCAAGGCGACGAUCUUUAAUUGGUCUGUGAGGAUGAUCAGUCUCGCCGGACCUGCGACGCGCUCCUAGGCUCCUUCGUCAGGCUGC